AUUGAACGCUGGCGGCAUGCUUUACACAUGCAAGUCGAACGAGUGGCGAACGGGUGAGUAAUAUAUCGAAACGUACCGAGUAAUGGGGGAUAACCAAUCGAAAGAUCGGCUAAUACCGCAUAUUAUUCGAGCGGCCGAUAACUGAUUAGCUAGUUGGUGGGGUAAAGGCCUACCAAGGCGAAGAUCAGUACCGGGUCUACGAGGAAGAUCCGCCACACUGGGACUGAGACACGGCACAGAGUCCUACGGGAGGCAGCAGUGGGGAAUUUUGGACAAUGGGGGCAACCCUGAUCCAGUCAUGUCGCGGGUAUGAAGAAGGCCUUCGGGUUGUAAAGUACUUUUGUUAGGGAAGCGGUACCUAAAGAAUAAGCACCGGCUAACUACGUGCCAGCAGCCGCGGUAAUUC
rnacentral:rRNA from 1 species